rnacentral:lncRNA from 1 species
UAUUUUCUUUAUUUUCCCAACAUUUGUUAGAGAGAGAGAGAGAGAGGGGGUAGAAGGAGGAGAGAGAAUCUCAAGCAGAUUCCACACUGAGUCCAGAGCCCAACAUGGGGCUCAAUCUCAUGACCCAAAGACCAUGACCUGAGCCAAGAUCAAGAGUUGGAUGCUUAAUCAAGUCAGCCACCCAGACACCUCUGUAUUGCUAUAUUCAAUGACUAGGCUUUUAUGAACUAAUUUGAAGUCUUUUACCUAUCUUAGUUAAUUGAAUAUAUGACUUGAGAUAAUUAUAGUUGUAUAGUAGAAAUUUUCCAAACACAAUGGUGAUAAGCAAAUACUGCGAAGGUUAAUAGCAAAGCUCUGACAAGCUUAGCCUGUGCAGCACUGGCACAGCCUUAUGAAAACAAUUAUGCAAAAAUAAUAAUCCUGUUGCAACUUCAAAUCCAGAUGCAUAAAAAUAUUAAUUGAUUUUUUUUCUUUCAGUAGUGCUAAGUUGCCAGUGGAAACUGCCCAUGGGCCACAUGAGAGACCACGGAUCCUGUAAUGCUGGGAGGCAUAAAGCUGGCACAGAAGUGCUGCAGAGAGGCUGUCACCAGUUAGAGGGAAGGAGCCAGAGAAGCAAGAGGUGUGGCAACAGCCAAGGGUCUUCAAAGGUAGAUGGACGGUGCACUCCCUUCCUGAAUGGGAGACCAGCACAGAGACCUUGGGGGCACGCCUCGCCCAGGCUCCAGCCGGAGGCUCCGCCCCAGGCCAUGGCCUUCCACUUGCUCACGUGACCACGCCACAGGCAUGCAGAGAGGCAGGCUGAGCUCUGCCAGGCCAGCAGGGUCCGUGCCAGGCCUGGUGGACUUCGAGGACAAGGAGCAGGUGAAGGCCUUUCUGGAGAACGUGGUGGAGUGCAAGUACCAGUGCUACUGUGAGAAGGACCCGAAUGGACAGAAAGUUAUCUAA